rnacentral:lncRNA from 1 species
ACUACUGAUGAGUAAACUUGCUUUCUCCUCCUCUCUCAGCCCCUUGAAUUUCCUACUAGACGUUUUGGCCAAGCCCAAUACAGUCUUGUUUUAAAAUCUUGUCCUCCCCUCAUAGCUUUUCAUUCAGGAUCUCUCUUUAGAGUCAACUCUGAUUCCCACAAAAGACUCCAGAACACUGAUUUGUCUCUGGGUUUUAAAACACCACACAUGAAAAUGUAGUAAGCCCUUAAAACAUGAGUUUUAAAAAGUAACUAACUAGUAAAAGCUUCCAAGGAUUCAAAAAAAUAUGAAGAAUGAAAGCUGCAGCAUAUCAAACCCAGUUUAGCAGCUGAAACAUCUGCAGAUAGUUCCUCCUAAGGAAGUGGGCUGCAGAAGGCUUAAUACUCAGACCUCUUGCAGUAAGUAUACCUGUUUAAGAAGCAGCACUUUCAGGUCUACUGAGAAAUAGGGUGUCAACAGUGGGAAAUGGAGCUGCAGUGUGCAAAGAGAUCACCUUACCUGAAUCCUAGAGCUCUGCUCUCUGCUCCUACUAAAACCAGGUAAUGGAUUGACUUCGCUGUGAUUCCCUAAGCUACACUGGGGAGGGGACUUAGUGCACAAGCAGGUGGUUGGCCUGAAGUGGUGGAGGCUUUUUCUCCUCCUCCCCCAGUACUGACUAGAAUUUCUGGCUGCAUAAACGUAGAUAAAUGUCACCCUCCCCCCCCCCGCCCCCCAUCAGUCUCUGUCACAUCUGAGCCCAUCAUGAACUUUGUUUCCUUACAUUCUUGUCUCUUGGAAGAAGUCACCUGAUUUGAGAUGCAGUGCUAUUGAGUGAAUGACCUGGCAGCACUGUCCUUGGCCCCCUGCAAUCCAGUACAGCAGCUGAACACACAAGGCUUUACUUUACACCAUGGGUCACAGGGCCAGAAAAGCAGACACUGAUGUCAAAGCAAAUCGCCCGCAUUCACCAGGAGCACAGUUCAUUUUUUUUUACCAUUUUUAAAGUCUUGUGGUAUACUUGUAAACACCAUUAUUGUAGAAAAAUGUACUACUAUGACUGUGCAGGUUUGUGAGAAAAGAUGAAACUUGAUCUUGUACCACUUAGGAACCAUAUUUUAAUCCUUUUUGUUUUCCAUAUUUAGUGGGUAUAAAGAGGCACAUAAAUCAGUUUGCGUGGGCAUUUAAAAAAUCAUUCUUUGUAUUUAUUUGAUCCUGUUAUAAAAUGUAUUUAUAAUUUAAGCGCCUGCCCUGUAACAUUUUGUAAUAAUUCUUAGCCAAUCUGGAAUUACAGACUUGAGAUUAAGAUGAAAACUGUAGACCCCAACAAUUCAAACCAACAAACAAAAACAUACAUAUAGGUUCAGCAUCCCUCAUCAGGAAGUCUGAAAUGCUUCAAAAUCUGAAACUUUCGAGCUCUGACAUGAUGCCCCAAGUGGAAAAAUCCCACACCUGAUGUCAGGUGACAAAUUGCAGUCAGAACACACAAACUAUUGGCUGUGUGUGUAAGAAACCUAGAUAAUUUCAUGUUUAGGCUUGGGAUUAAUCCCCAAGAUAUCUCAUUAUCUAUAUAGCAGAUAUUCAGAAAUCUGAAAAACCCUGAAACUUCUAGUCUCGGUGCAUUUUAGAUAAGGGAUACUUAACCUGUGUUCACAGAAACAUUUACAGAACCCAGUUUCUGAGGGUACAAAGGGGUAGUUUGUAGUAUUUGGAAUAGGAAGUACUUCAUUUCAUUAAGUCAGACACCUGAAGAGAUAAGUUCUCUAAACUGCUGAGUCCCCUGAAGGGCCUGGGUACAAAUGAGUCAGAAACAAGUAGACCUUUGCCUUGAGAGUGUAUGGGGACCAGUCUCUUUGUUAAACAUUACUCUUUUUUCAUCAGGGUGUGGGGCAGCAUGGAAAUGGUUAGUGGUAAUACAUUUUUUCAGUGUUUGUAUGUUAUAUUUUAUUGAUUUAAUCAGGAGAGAAAAUUGGAAUUAUUUUCUAAAGGCUUCCAGAAGUACUUUUGAUUUGUCAGGAAGAAUGCUCAUUCUGUGAGAAUGUAUCCCAUACUACAAAAUAAUUAUAUGUGUAUAUCUCCCCCAUGUAGCUGUUUCCUUGAUAUUUGUAAUUUUAAAUUUCAGCUUCACAAUAUAAAAUAAUAUAAGGACUUUUCUGGUUUACAAAAUGUAAAAUUUUAUCCAAACCAAUGGAAUCAUUGAUUUCCUACCUCAGUGUACACUCAACUGUUAGUCAUCAGUUUGUGUGCAAAUGUCAAGUAAUUUUUUGCUUUAAUUGAAACUGUAAAUAUUUGCUUUGAAAAGUUUCUAUUUUAUGCUAAAACCUAGUUGUCUCCACAGUUUAAAUAUAAUUUUUAAAGCACCUAUUUUGUAUUUCUCUCUACCUGUAAACAGUUUAGCAUUAAGGGUUGUUUUAAUGGUAUGUGAUAAUUGGCCACAUGUACUAUUUCUUAAAAUUUAGCAUUAUUUUUAAUAGCCAGUGUGUAAUACAAGCAUAACUACACUACCUCAUACCUACAUGAUUUUCAACUUGUAAUAUAGAUGGACAAAAAAGAUUUUAUCUUUGUCUUUUGGCCAUAAGGUGGGGAAGUUUUCUAUAUAUUGCAUAGCAUUACACAUUUAUGCCUAUUUUAACAUUAACUUCUAAAGUUUUUUCUAAGAUAAUUUGUUUCAAGGCAAUAUUUUUUGUUUUUGAGGCUGCCAGAAGACAAAUGAGAGGAUUAUGUGUAUACAGUGUAUGCCUUUUCCUUCAUGCAGAAUUUGGAAUUGUUUUCAGUUUGUAUAUUGCCUUUGUACAUGAUCAUUGUUCCUUGUUUUAUGAACUGGCCUCUCAGUGCUUGAUCAAGAUUUUUAAAAAGGUGUUAUGUAAAAUAACAUUACCAUAAAAUUUUCUCCUUAUUUGAAUAGUAUAGCUAUAGAAAUUUAUUAAAUUGUUAUAUUUAAAACAAAUGUGAAUAUAAUAAUGGUUCUCCAUCUGUAAGUUUUGUAAUAAUUUACUAUAGCUUAAUGCUUAACCAGUUUUAAAUGAGGAAUUAAAUGUAGUUGAUGCAAUAGAUGAUACAGAUUGCAUGUGGACACUCAGCCACAUUAACAGUUUGGAAAAAAGAAAAGGCAAAUGUUAUAAUGAAUUCUCAGGUGAACUUUUUUCAGUUAUGGAACAUCUAUUUUGAAUUUGUAAAUAUUUUAAGUGUUUUAUUAAGGCAUGUAAUAAUCUUAUUUGAAACCUGUUGGGUAGAAUAAAAAUUUAAAGCCGUAAUGGUAAAAGAUGGCAUACUGAUUGUAAAAUAAACAGCGUUAUUGAUUUUUUUUGUAUCUUUCAUAAUAUAAUUUUCUAACAAUACAAUAAAACCACUAAACUUGUAUAUCCAUGUCUUAUUAGAACCAUGUUUCAUUAAAAGUACACUUUUAUGGUAUUUAAUUUACAUGUUCUUCCUAAUGUGCUUACUAUAAAUACUAGAUGUUAAUAAAUUGACAAUAAAAUUCUCUAAAAUUGUUUCUAAUUGAA